rnacentral:tRNA from 2 species
GGAUGGGUGCCCGAGUGGUUUAAGGGACCGGUCUUGAAAACCGGCAGGGGUUAACCCCCCUCGUGGGUUCGAAUCCCACCCCAUCCGCCA